CCCAUAGCUUGUGUAAUAUUGAAACGCUCAACAUAAUCUUUCGCAGAUUUUUUCUUAACUAUCAAUUCUAUUUAUCCGUUUUCAUAUUGCGUUUGUGAAUUUAUAAUAUACGACGGUUUGUUUCAAUGUUUUCUUCAUUCGGGUCAUCCCUAAUGAUCAACCAGGUACGGGCAGGCAGGUUCGCUGUUAUCGAAGCCCGGCCCUAUUUCUAGUUAAACCCCUCGGAGGAUGCCUGGGGCCCCAGCCUAAGCAUUACAUCAGCUGAAUAAAGAUUACAAACUGGAAAAGCCAAAAGAGCUGUUUUCUUUAUUUAUAAAAUAAGAUUGACUAAAUAAGAAACUUCUGUUUUUGAAGAAUGAAGUUCUUUAGUUGUAGAUGAAAUAUUGAUACAUGCUGUGAUAAGUUAUAGUGUGACUUCUCUAUAGAGUCCUCUAUGCUUGAAAAUUGUUCAUAAUUCAGAGAUCAAAUCAAAUCUCAAAGUCUUUAAAUGAAGCCUUUCUUUCCAAAAAAAAUUAAA
rnacentral:sRNA from 1 species